rnacentral:rRNA from 1 species
CCCAAAGGUUCCCUCAGAAUGGUUGGAAAUCAUUCGCAGAGUGUAAAGGCACAAGGGAGCUUGACUGCGAGACCUACAAGUCGAGCAGGGACGAAAGUCGGGCUUAGUGAUCCGGUGGUUCCGCAUGGAAGGGCCAUCGCUCAACGGAUAAAAGCUACCCCGGGGAUAACAGGCUUAUCUCCCCCAAGAGUCCACAUCGACGGGGAGGUUUGGCACCUCGAUGUCGGCUCAUCGCAUCCUGGGGCUGUAGUCGGUCCCAAGGGUUGGGCUGUUCGCCCAUUAAAGCGGUACGCGAGCUGGGUUCAGAACGUCGUGAGACAGUUCGGUCCCUAUCCGUCGCGGGCGCAGGAAAUUUGAGAGGAGCUGUCCUU